GCUUGGUGCUCACAACCUUCACCGGAUGCUGUUCUUUGCCUGCCUUGUUGUAUUUGCUCUUGUCAAAUUUCGGCUUGGGCACACCGUAUUUCCUUAGAAUCUUCCAACACAGAAAAUGAAUAAUUAAUCAAUGCUUUUGAGUCACAUGAAAGAUCCCAAAGAGAGUUUUCAAAGCACUACCUGAGUAAGCUGGUCCUCCAGCACCUUCUUUGGAGGACGGACAUUUGUGAAGAAGACAUGAAGAAGGUUUCCAGGAGUCUGAGAAUUUAUCUGCUCUUUACUAAGAUAGAUAUCAGCAACCUUGAUUGGUUUUGUUGGAGUCAGGCUCAGCAUUUGCUCAGAAUGGACACAGCUUUUAAAUAUUUCUGUUAGGACCUCCCGAGCACCAGGAACCAAUUUCUCACCUUUUAUUGACUUAUCAUUGAAGUAGUCUUCUAGCGCCGGGCUCCCUUGUGUGUCAAAUAAACUCUGAUUUACAGUAGAAACAGUUAAAAUCUCUUCAGUUGACAUUUCCAUCAGUUCGUCUUCACCAUCCAGACUUGACAAACCAAUGAGAUCACUACUGUUAAAUAGGCUGGCUCGGAUUUUCUCUAUUUUAGCUCUUGAUCGUAUCUGUACAAAUAAAGAAAUCUGUUAGAUUAAUUUAUAUUGCUUUAUAUUAACUUGGAUACUCUAAGCUUUCUCUCCUCCUCAUAUGGAUAAUCGGUAUUGCAUCUCUCCUACCAUUCUUCUACGUUAAUCAUGAAAACAUAAUUCAGACUUCACCUAGAAAAUAUCCCUUUUAUGAAAAUCUGGCAAUUCCAACCAUCAUGCUGUGAGUUCAUCAUGCACAGCUCUGAAACAGCUGUUCCUUUUCUUAGCCUGGAGACAGCCCUUAGAAAUAUCAGAGAAGUCUCACAUCAGUAACCUGUCAUUAUUUGCAACUCUAUUGUCUUUGCCUCAAUUCUCCACUUAGAAAAAUAACUACAAUAGCACAAGCCUUGGAGUCUCAGCUACACAAAAUUGGAAACAACAGUUUCCUUCGAUUCCAACAAUAACUGCCAUGCAUCAUUAUCUGAGCAGCUAUGGACUUGGAGUAGGUGAACAUGCUGACAGAUUUCCAUACACACUUGAUGGUUUAUUUCAGUGCUGGUGUCUUCUUGUCAAUUAAUAACUUAAGAACAGCAAUUGAAGGUUUUCCCUUUCAAUAAGCUGAUUUUCUUCUAAAA
rnacentral:lncRNA from 1 species